AACGCAGAGCCUGAUGUGGGGCUUGAUCCCACCAACCCAAGAUCAUGACCUGCACCAAAAUCAAGAGUUGGACACUUAACCAAUUGAGCCACCCAGGUGCCCCUUUUAUGUGGAAUCUAAAAAACAAUACAAAACAAAAACAAAAACAAAAAAACAAAAAACAAAAAAUAAAUAAAAAAUAAAAAACAAAACAAAAUAAACAUGCACAAAAAAACCCAGAAACAGACUCAUAAAUGCAGAGAACAAACAGGUGGUUGCCAGAAGGAGGGAGGAUUGAGGGAUGGAUGAAAUAGGUGAAGGGGGCUAAGAGAUCCAAACUUCCAUUUAUAAAAUAAGCAAGUCACAGGGAUGAAAAAUACAGCAUAGGGAACAUAACAAUAAUAUUAUAUUAUUGUAUGGUGACAGAAAGUAACUAUACUUCUCAUGGUGAGUAAUGUGUAAUGUAUAAAUUGUCUAAUCACUGUAUUAUUCACAUGAAACUAAUACACUGUCAACUAUACUUCAUUAAUAAAAAGAGUAUAUUUUUUAAAAAGAACAUUAAAACAAGAUACUAAUAUCUUAAUAUUAUCUGCAGUAUAAAGACUUGAAUUAGAGUAGAUGAUCCUUAAAUCAUUCCUAGAUUUCUGACCUCUGAAUUUUAGUCUUUAUUUCUUUUACACAUUUAAUCAACUCUCAGAGUCAGUUCUGCUGUAAUACUUGUUUUGAAAAUGAGAAUUUUUAUUAUAUGUUAAUGUAUGUAAUAUACAUAUUAGAAACCAAACAUAAAGCAAAUGGUGCAUUUGCUUAUGUGCCAUUUCUUUCUAGAGAAGCAUUAGAUGAAUGCAGAAAAGUGCAGCCAGCUGAAAGGCACUUAAGACUACCUAAAAUGCACAUGUGUAUGCAUCCCAGUCACCUGUAGACUUAAUUUAUCUGUGUAUUAUGAGCUACACCUAUGCACAUUUGGUGUUAUAGCUUUGUGUUUAAUAUCAGAUUACCCUCAUACCAUACAAGAUGCAUCCCUUUCUGCACCCAAUUCUAGUCAAACUCUAGGUUUUUAAUGAGAUAAAAGUGCCAUACUGAUAGUAGUUUUGAUUGUAUAUUUUAACUAUUUAACCUGUAUAAAACUGCUACCAUUUUUAUUAAGAUCCUGCUUUUUAAAAAAACAUCAUUGGUAUCCUUUUGGGGUGCCUUACCCCUAACCACAUGUUUUGCAUAAAUAAAAACCCUAUGGUUUUUAUUGCAUGAUUUGCAUAGCAUAGAGGUUUUUAGGAACAAGUAUGUUUUGUUACAGCAGAACUGGCUGUAAUGGAUUUUGGCAUCAUAAAAUUCUUGGUGGCAAGGUGCAGAGAACAGUUAGUGUAUCCUAGGAUUGUUUUCUGUGAAUGUUGUCAACUUAGCAUGCUUUGUCCUACUUUGCAUUUUUUUUCUAGUGCCUCUAUAGGAAUGCCUUGGAAUAAUCAUUUCUCAAACCUCAAAACCUUAGGGAAAGUUUUAUGACAUUCUCAAAACUGAAGACUACUGUGAAUGAUUAGAUACUUGGUUGAACUCUAGAAAUAAGAAUUUUGUUGUCUUGGCUAAUUAAUAAUUAAAGUUAUUGGAUAUAUAAUUUUUAACAGAUUCUAAGGUUCAGAUUAAAAUAUGGCUAUGGUGGGGUACCUGCCUAGCUAGUCAGGAGGCCAUGUGACUCUUGAUCUUUAGGUUGUGACUUCAAUCCCCAGGUAUGAUGUGAAGUUCACUUAAAAAAUUUGUUUUAAAUAAAAAAAAAAAAAAAAAAAAAA
rnacentral:lncRNA from 1 species